rnacentral:rRNA from 1 species
AUGAACGCUGGCGACGUGGAUAAGGCAUGCAAGUCAAGGGGGCCCGCAAGGGCAACCGGCAGACGAGGUAGUAAUACGUAGGUACGAACCUUUUAGUUGGGUAUAGCUCGUCGAAAGACGGGGUAAUCCCCAAUAGUUCCCUUCGGGGUAAAGUCGCAAGACGCUAAGAGAUCGGCCUGCGGGGUAUCAGCUAGUUGGUAAGGUAACGGCUUACCAAGGCUAUGACGCCUAGGGGAGGUGAGAGCCUGACCCCCACCGAUGGUACUGAGAUACGGACCAUACACCUACGGGUGGCUGCAGUCGAGAAUCUUCCACAAUGGGCGAAAGCCUGAUGGAGCGACGUCGCGUGAUUGAUGAAGUCCCACUGGGAUGUAAAGAUUUUUUAUAGAGGAGAAAGCUCCGCUUGCGGAGUGUGAUAGUACUCUAUGAAUAAGGGGUUGCUAAACUCGUGCCAGCAGCAGCGGUAAUACGGGUGCCCCGAGCGUUAUCCGGAAUUAUUGGGCGUAAAGGGUGUGUAGGCGGUCUUGUUAGUCUUUUGUUAAAGCUCCUAGCUUAACUGGGAAAAUGCAAAAGAAACGGCAAGACUCGAGGGUGCAAGAGGCUUAUGGAACUCAUGGUGUAGGGGUGAAAUCCGUUAAUAUCAUGGGGAACACCGAAGGCGAAGGCAGUAAGCUGGUGCACAUCUGACGCUGAAACACGAAAGCGUGGGUAGCGAAUGGGAUUAGAUACCCCAGUAGUCCACGCCCUAAACGAUGAUCUCUAGCUUUUCGGAGUAUCGACCCUCUGAGAGGCACAGCUAACGCGUUAAGAGAUCCGCCUGGGUAGUACGGCCGCAAGGCUGAAACUCAAAGGAAUAGACGGGGACUUGCACAAGCGGUGGAUCAUGCGGUUUAAUUCGAUUCUAAACGAAGAACCUCACCAGGGCUAGACAUCUAACCGAAGAUCAGAGGAAACUUUGGUCGUCUCACAAGGACGGUUGGACAGGUGAUGCAUGGCUGUCGUCAGUUCGUGGUUUGAACUGUUCCCUUAAGUGGGGUAACGAACGCAACCCUCGUCGUGUGUUAUAUAUGUCACACGAGACUGCCACGUUUAUCGUGGAGGAAGCGAGGAUGACGCCAAGUCAGCAUGUCCCUCUGAUGUCCUGGGCUACACGCAUGAUACAAUGGCCGACACAACGAGUUGCAACAUCGAAAGAUGAAGCUAAUCUUUAUAAAGUCGGCCCCAGUUCGGAUUGAGGUCUGCAACCCGACCUCAUGAAGCCGGAAUCGCUAGUAAUCGCGGGUCAGACAUACCGCGGUGAAUACGUUCUCAAGUCUUGUACUCACUGCCCGUCAAGUCAGGGGAGCCGGGAGUACCUGAAGCUCACGUUUACGUGAUCCAAGGUAAGCUUGGUGACAAGGAUU